rnacentral:rRNA from 1 species
AUGGUGGCGGCGCUCACCCACGUCAUCAGCUCCACUCGACCGGGACCGGCGGCCGCCGCCGGUGCAACCGCGCCCGGGCAGCAAGCUGUGACCCGCCAACACAGCGCUCCUCUGGCCGUGGCGGCGACGUCGUCGUCAUCAACGGCGUCGGAGCAGCAGCAGCAGCGUCCGCGGUACCGUGGCGUACGGCAGCGGCCGUGGGGCAAGUGGGCGGCGGAGAUCCGCGACCCCGUGAAGGCGGCGCGCGUAUGGCUGGGCACCUUCGACACGGCCGAGGACGCCGCACGCGCCUACGACGCCGCCGCGCUCCGCUUCAAGGGCGCCAAGGCCAAGCUCAACUUCCCUGGCGCCGGCGGUGCGCCUGCGCCACCCCGCCAUGCCGUCGGCCAGCUCCUGGCGCCCGGAGGCGGGGCAUCGCCGUCGAUGCGGCAGCAGCAGCGACCCGUGGUGGUGGCCUUCCGUCCGCAGAUUAACUCCCUGGCAGCCGUUGCUCGGGAGGAGUUCCCGGACCUCCACCGGUAUGCGCACAUACUGCAGAGCGGUGACGUGGACCUGCGGGCUGUUGCAGCCGGCGGGAACACACCGGGGCAGUCGUCUUCGUCGACGCCGGCGCACGACUCGAGGUCGCCGCCCCGGCCGGAUGAUCGCGGAUAUGGCGAGAGAAGUGCAGGCCCUGGCUGCUAA